CUAACUGAAAGUCAAUUUUUUAUUGGAAAACGUAAUAACCGCGGCUGCAGUAGAUCACGUAGACAUUGGACAUUUACAUUUUAUAGUUGCGACUUUCCUAGAAUACACAAUAUAUACUUUUUGCUGCAAUCCUAUUAGAGGAUUCUAUGGCAUUUUGCCGUAAUUACAUUUUCCAAAAAAUUAACGUUCCGACAUUUUAUCUGUCAGUAAAAUCAUAUUGCAUUACAAUUUAUAUUCAAACAUGUUGUACUUCCGUCUAGUUAUUUUCAAGGCUGUUAGAAUUCCCAUAUUUUAUUUGCCAUUCGUUAAGAUUAUUUUCAGUUACAUCCCAUCAAACCGAAGCGUUUAGUGCGAAAUCAUAAUAUUAUAUGAUAACCGACAAUAAUACUUUUUAAAUACGAUUGGUUCCAAACGGACACAAAUAUACGUACAA